rnacentral:lncRNA from 1 species
AUGUUAAUUUAUGGUAUUGUAAUACAAUGCACAGGAACUGUUCGGUUAAGCUUCUUGUGUGAAGUCGUAAAUGGUGGAGAAAUAGUGUUCCAUUGAAAAAAAAAAUUAUAUCAGUUUAACGCUGCUAAACAAACAACACUCCUAGAAAACUGACCAGUUACGACAGCUUUUUCGGUCGGAACCGGUCCCGGUUGAUUUUGCGAACUGGACUGAGUGUUUGCCACCGGCUUGAAACUGCGUUUUUGUGCUUUUUGUGGCCGGCUUGCAACCGUGUUUUUGCGCUUUUUUGCGACUGGCUUACAACCAUAUUUUUUGUGUUUUUUUGCGACUGCUUGUGCGUUUGAUUUGCGACUGUCUUCCAACUAGAUUACGACUGUAUUUUAAAAAAAAUUAAUAAUGAAUUGCUUUUUCUUUUUCGUUAUUUUUUUUCUAUUUUUAAUCUCCAAAUAAGAGUAAACUGUCAUUUUGGUCUCUGAGGUUUGGUCAUUUUUGUCACUUUAGUCCAAAUUUGAAACUUUUUACAUCUAGGUCACUGUGAUUUCAUUUUUUUUUUUUGCCAUUUUGGUGCAAAAAGGAAAUCAGCUAUUAUUUCUAAAAAAGAACCAUGUUUUUUUUUUGUCGUUUUCCUAGGGGCAAAUGGUCAUUAAGAAAAUAUCUUCUCUCUUUUUUCUCCUUUAAUUAAAAAAGAGUAAAAAAAUAUAUGAAUGCCUAGGUUUCUUCCUCUUUAACUAUCCCUCACCCCCUCCCUCUUUCUUCAAUCAACCUCCACCACCGCCGUAUCCCAGCCACCACCGCCACUAAAUCGAGCCCCACCAGCACCGGAUCCAGCCGUCGCAAACCCACCACAACUAAAUCCAGCCACCACAGCCCCACUACCUCCUGAUGCGAGUAAGUUCUUCAUCACUAGAACUGGAAUUAGGGCCAAACUUAACACGAGGCUUUGGAGUUCUCUUUGGCGACCCGUAGCAGCCGUUCACUUCUCCUUAAUCGUUGGACACCAGGUAAUCAACGACUUUGUUUAUAGCUAAAUCUGAUUUGGUGAGAGGGGUGAAGGGUGGGGUUUUGAUUUGGUGACGGGUUGAAUUAUUUGGUGUCAAAUUGUUUUUGUUACUCGAAUGGUGGUUGAAUCUGAGGGGCGGUUGGGGAAGAAAAGGGUGGCGGGGGUGGUUGUCAGUGGUGGUGGGUUGGUUGACACAUACAAAUUUAAAUAAUAAUCACAUUUCCUCUUAAACAACCAUUAUACAUGAGGGAACACGCUCUUUUCUAUGAGUAAAAGAUAACAUAUUACAAGCGAAGGCUCUAUUGCUCUGUAUUGGAGUAUUUAUCAGAGAACACGCACAAGUCGCAAUACAAGGAAUUCCACUACAAAAAUACUGUGCAGGUGUCAACGAAAUUGAAGUUAGGAACAAAUUGAAGUUACGGUGACCGAAUUGAUGUUUAAUUAUAACAGGGGAGCAAGCCAAGAUUUUAUUAUGGUUGCAUUUGGGGAAGAUGAUAGCUUUUAUAAAGUCAAACCAAGUUUUUUUUUUUUUUUUUUUUUUGAGAUUUUAUAUAAAAAUAAACUUUAAAUUAUUUGAGUUCAUGACCAUUUUACCCCUUGGAAGGAA